ensembl:lncRNA
ACAAACUGUAUUAACUGUUUAUUCUGUCAAAUUUUCAUUAAAGAGCAGUUUUAUUUAGCAGUAAAGCAGUAGCUUGGUUUUCAGAAGACAUUUACCCUGCACUGGUGACAAAUUACCCAAAUUUAAGCAAACAUCGGUGCUCUAGUAAAAUGAUUUGUGAAGGACACUUCCAUCCUGCAUAGCCUUGAGCAUUGCCUCCUCAUUGGCUCUUGAGCGAAAACACAUGUUUAAGCUCGAAGUCUUUUUUGUUUGCUGUAGUUUCUCUUAAAUUAAAAUUAAUAGUUUAGAUUAAAUAGUUUUGUAUUAAUAUAUAAAAAAAAAUCUCAUUUCUGUUAAUUUCUCUAAACAUACUUCUCAUACACAGAACCACAUUCACAGUAAAGCACAUUUGUGCACUAUUGAAAGUAAUUUUAGGAAUGACUUACAUCCUGCACAGCCUUCAGUGUUGCUUGCAUAUUAGCCUUGGAGCGCACAUACAUAUGCAGGCCUGUGGUCACUUUCUUAUAAUCCAUAAAUGGUUUUGAUGGUCUAAAUGAUGGAAAGUUUGGGGAGGAUGGCAAGAUUGAUGACGAUGGUGGUGAAGAUGAUUCUGAGAAUGAUGGAGAGUUUGGGGAUGAUGACGGUGGUGAUGACAGUAAGGAUGAUGGAAAUAAUGGCAUGGUUGGUAAUGAUGGUGAUCUAGUCAUUGAAGUCAACGAGAUUGGUGGAGAAAAAGAGGAUGAUGGUGCUGCUGUUGGUGGUAAUAAUGGUGGUGAGGUUAUUGAUGAAGACGGGGAUGUUGGGGAUGGUGAAUUUGGUAAUGAAGAUGGAGUGAGUGAUGACAUUAGUAUUGGUUUUGCUGAAAGCGAGGAGGAUAAUGGUAAUGGUGCUGAAGUUGGUGAGGAUGAUUUCUGCCAAGAUGGUGAUGAUGAAGAUGAUAAAGAUGGUGUUGAUGGUGAUGUAAGCUGUAAGUCUUUUAAUGAUGGUAAGGAUGAGGUAGAUGAUGCAGAGGUUGUUGACAUUGAGGGCUGUGCUGGUUGGGGCAAUGUUGAUGAAAAUAGUUGCACUGAUGAAGAUGAUGUAGAUGAUUUUAUUGAAGAAUAAGAUGAUGAGGAUGAUGAUGAUGCUGCUGAUAGUGAGGGCUGUGCUGCUGGGGUUGAUGAUAAGUUUGUUGGUGAGAUCGUUGUGGUUGGUGAUGAUGAAGUCGAUGGUGUUAUAGUUAAAGAUGGCGAGGUUGAUGAAGUUUGUAUUGAGGUUAUUGCAGAAGAUGGUGGCAUUGAGGAUGACAAUGGUGUGGGUGUUAAUAUCGCUACUGCCGACACUGGUAAAGAUGAAGAGGAUUUUGCUGAUGGUGUAGAAGAUGAGGAUGAUGGUGAUGGUUUAAUGGUGGGUGAGGAUGAUGACUGGGGUGAGAUUGACACUGAAAACUGUUGGAAUGUUGGAUGUGGCUGAAGCAAUGGGGCUUUUGUUUCUGUUUGUGAAAGUAUUGAUGGUAUAGAUGUUGAGUUUGGUGGAGAAGCUAGAAAUAUGGACGGGUGUGGGGGAAAAAAUCCAUUAGUCACUGAAUCUGAUGCAGUUUGUUUCAUCACUGAAAAAGUCUAAACUGAUUCAAGCAGUAUUUGGUUUGUAAAUCUAUCAUAUCAUUAUAAAUUUGGUAAAAUUUCUUUGUAAGGCACACAAAAAAAAAACUACCACAAAAUAAAUCAUACACUAGUACCUUUGUACAUUUUGUCACUUUUUUAUCAUGUACUGCCCUCUAGUGGUUACAAAAAACAGUACUGGGGAGUUUCUAUGAAAGGGAUCCUCAAUUCUGGUCCACUAUCCUGCAGAGUUUAGUUCUUACCCGAACCAAACACACCUGAGCAUGCUAAAUGUCAAGGUUGGAGUUAAACUCUGCAAUGCAUUUGCCUUCCAGGGCAAGAUUUGAAGAACCCAGCUGACCUAUGACAUUGAAGAGCUUUGGCCCCAGGCUGUUUUUAAACAUUUUUUUUUUUAUUGUUUACCUACAGUACCCCAUCUCAAAUUUGAAUGCAAAAUCUUACGAUUGCAUAUCUGAUUGUAGUCAGAACAGCAGUCUCCGAGUAUGAUGCAGAACUCAUCACAAUAGCACUCUCGUCUGCAGUUGUCAUCCCUGCCAAGACAGCAGAGCACUGUGGGCACUGAACACAGGGCUGAAAGAUAAAACACCCAAGAUGAAUGCAGAGCUGAAUUCAGCUCUUAGAAUGAUCAACAUCCUUUCCUAUUUUUUCCUUAGGUUUUGUUCAUUGCUACACAUUUUAGUGCCAUGUAAGAAAUCAAAGAAAUUUAAAAAAGGAAAAAUUCAAAUAGGAUUGUUUGUAGUACUUUACAGUAAUAUUUAAAUACACACACAUAUAAUAUACAUGUGCAUUUUAUAUUCGGAUGUUUGCAAAAACACUUAAGCAAAUGCAUAUGUUUCAUCCAGUGUAACUGUGACCUCCAUGUUAAACAAAUAAAUACAUUUGUAAAUAAAUGUGUGUGGAUUAAUCACAGUACAUUAAGAUAGACAAAAAUAAAUGCAUUUUGUUUUUAGGAAUAAAAUGAUGGUGAAUAAUGAUAUGAAAUUUACAGAAUAUAGAUUGGAAUAAAAUUAGACCAUUUGGUGUAUGCAAGUCCUGCUUAAUAAAGACUAAUCUAUUUUUUAUUUAUACAGUAAAGAUCGUUGUUUUACAUUUAUUACACUUUUGUACUGUUUUCUACUGUUGUACAUGCCUUAAAAAUGUAAACUAGUUUGAUUCAUUUGAAUCAAGAAAUCGUGAAAUUUCACAGCUAUGAAAAAUUCUGGUAUCAUAAAGCACAUGAAAUACUACUACUUUAGAUAAAAAUCUACAGACACAAAUAGAUUCAAAUAGAUGCAGUAUAAUAAAGGAAACACUUAAAUGUACAGUUUUUAAUUUUAGUUCCAGAUGUCUGAAUUUAGUGCCUUGCCGUACACAAAGGGAAGUUUUCCCUUGUGGCUAUCUUAUGUGAAUUUAUUGUUACCUGUAGUUUCUCACAGAACAUGUGUAUACAUGCAGCUGACCUGGAGAGUGUCUGACUUACCUGACGCCAGAUUCUCCUUUCUUUGGUGCAGAAGCAGUAAGAGAAGCCAGAAAUGGACAACUAAAACCUUCAUCCUGUUCAGGUAAAUGUGUCCAACUCAACUCACUUCACUAAAUGUUUAAAUAGAGCUGCUGAGAUUUCUUGAGGCUACAUACUGUUUUACAUCUGCAUCUUGCUAAACCAGUUUUGCUGGAUAUAAAAGUCACUUAGCAUUACACUUAAAUUCUGAAAGUAUGACAGGAAUGCUGGAAAACUAUUUUGUAACAUCUAAAUAAUUUGCAGAAUCAUACAAAAUCACAAAGUUAAAAAAUAAAAGGACCUUCAGAAGAUUUACUCAAUGAAAUUAAUGUUUAUUAAAUGAAAGACAAAAACACAGACUUACAGAUACCAUGCAUGCACAUAAAACAUUCAGCAACAAGAAUUUAGCUAGUUUUAUAAAUGAUAAAACAGAUUAAUUGUUGAAAAUUAAAAUAAGUAUUCAGGCGUUAUAUGGAUGUUUAAAUAUUUGUGUAACAUUCUCAUGAUCAAUGUAAAGUGGUUACUCUGCUAGGAGACGUAAACUUGAAAAAAAAAAGAAAGAAAAAUCACAGUGAUUUUAGGGGAAAACGCAUCUUUUUUGUAAAUCAUAAUAUGAAAUAACUAUUUAAAAGAUAUUUCCUAGAAAAACAACACCUCAAAUGACCUUGCUAAAACUGGUCUGAGUAGCUCUUGAGCUUUGAUGUUGAGUGGGUUCAUAUUGACAGAUGACAGGUGCUUUCAGCUAAUGGUUUGCCUCGUAGUGUUCCAGCUCAAGCCCGAGAACGUUCCCUAAACAGUAGUGACCGCCUGCAUACCAAAGAUUAUAGGCAAAUUAACUGAUGUCAACAAACAAACAAACAUAAAACAGCUAACACGAGUAGUUCUUUAACAGAUGCAUAAUUUUCCUCAUAUUAUAUAUG